rnacentral:rRNA from 1 species
CAGUCGCCACGGUAAAACGUAGGUGGCAAGCGUUGUCCGGAAUUAUUGGGCGUAAAGGGCUCGCAGGCGGUUUCUUAAGUCUGAUGUGAAAGCCCCCGGCUCAACCGGGGAGGGUCAUUGGAAACUGGGAAACUUGAGUGCAGAAGAGGAGAGUAGAAUUCCAGGUGUAGCGGUGAAAUGCGUAGAGAUGUGGAGGAACACCAGUGGCGAAGGCGACUCUCUGGUCUGUAACUGACGCUGAGGAGCGAAAGCGUGGGGAGCGAACAGGAUUAGAUACCCCAGUAGUCCCUGUCUCUUAUAC